rnacentral:lncRNA from 1 species
GGCAAGACAGACCCACUCCCCCUGCUUCAGAGGUCCUAUACACCCCUGGCUAAGUGGACCCACAAGUUCGCCACAGGCUUACUGGUAGUUGGGACCAGUCCCUGGGACAGGCUGCCUACCCUGGCUGUGCUCAAUUAAAUCGGUGCUCCAGCGGGUGGGGCAAACCCCUGCAUUAACAGGCUAGAGGAAAGAAUCCAAUGAUGACUGCCAGUGUCUGUGUCAGCACUAUUGAAUUAGGUCACAAUAAUGGCUGCCACCAGUGUCUUAGUCCCUGAGAUGGGGGGACCAGCUGCCUCCUGCCUCUCUGAGGUGCACUCUGAGCUCAGAAGCCAGGAGCCACGCCACGAGGACCCUCAACCAGCCCUGUGAAGAGAUCCACAUGGUGAGGAACUGAGGCAUCUUGCAAAUAGCUCUGUGAGCCAUCUUGGAAGUGCAUCCUUUAUCUCCGGUCAAACCUUCAAAUGACUUCAGUCCUGGCCAACAUGUUAACUCAUGAGAUACCUGGAGCCAGAAUCACCCAACUUCGCCACUCCUGGAUUCCUGACCCUCAGAAAUAUGUUUGUUUAACAAUUUACUCCGCGGGAGACAUCAUAUAUCUGCUCUUCUUCGUGUAUUAUUCAAUCAGCUUUCUACGGAGGCCAAACCGUUUGCUUAGGGACAAAACUGAAUGAGCAAAAUGAGCACAUCCGAAACUAUAAGAAACCAACCAAGGGGGACUGAAAAUCUGCUCAGAAAGAACCGAGCAACUAGACAUCAAGGUUGCUGGAGAAGUAAAAAGUGGUUUCAAAGAGGAGGUAAAACAUUUUCAGUAUAUUCUGCAGAGAAUAACAUUGUUUUCCUAACCAACAACAAAAAGUAAACUGAUAUCAAUUGAGAAAUACUAAAUUGGAAACAAAUGGAAGAGCCAGCAUUCUACGUAGCAAAUUUUCCUAUCCA